GACGAACGCUGGCGGCGUGCCUAACACAUGCAAGUCGAACGGGGGUAGCAAUACCUCAGUGGCGAACGGGUGCGUAACACGUGAAGAAUUUGUCCAACGGCGGGGGGAUAGCCGGCCCAACGGCCGGGUAAUACCGCGUACGACCACCGGGGGGCAUCCCCUGAUGGUGAAAGCCGCAAGGCGCCGAUGGAGAACUUCGCGGCCUAUCAGCUAGUUGGUGAGGUCAUGGCUCACCAAGGCGACGACGGGUAGCUGGUCCGAGAGGAUGACCAGCCACAUUGGGACUGAGACACGGCCCAGACUCCUACGGGGAGGCAGCAGGUGGGGAAUAAUUGCGCAAUGGGCGAAAGCCUGACGCAGCGACGCCGCGUGU
rnacentral:rRNA from 1 species